UAUCGGAUUGAUACUAAGCCAUGCGAGUCAUUGCAGUAAUGCAAGGCAGACGGCUCAGUAACGCGUAGUCAACCUACCCUAUGGACGGGAAUAACCUCGGGAAACUGAGUAUAAUGCCCGAUAGAACACUAUUCCUGGAAUGGUUUGUGUUCCAAAUGAUUUAUCGCCGUAGGAUGGGACUGCGGCCUAUCAGUUUGUUGGUGAGGUAAUGGCCCACCAAGACUAUUACAGGUACGGGCUCUGAGAGGAGUAGCCCGGAGAUGGGUACUGAGACACGGACCCAGGCCCUAUGGGGCGCAGCAGGCGAGAAAACUUUGCAAUGUGCGAAAGCACGACAAGGCUAAUCCGAGUGGUUUGUGCUAAACGAACCUUUUGACAGUCCUAGAAACACUGUUGAAUAAGGGGUGGGCAAGUUCUGGUGUCAGCCGCCGCGGUAAAACCAGCACCUCAAGUGGUCAGGAUGAUUAUUGGGCCUAAAGCAUCCGUAGCCGGCUCUGUAAGUUUUCGGUUAAAUCUGUACGCUCAACGUACAGGCUGCCGGGAAUACUGCAGAGCUAGGGAGUGGGAGAGGUAGACGGUACUCGGUAGGAAGGGGUAAAAUCCUUUGAUCUAUUGAUGACCACCUGUGGCGGAGGCGGUCUACCAGAACACGUCCGACGGUGAGGGAUGAAAGCUGGGGGAGCAAACCGGAUUAGAUACCCGGGUAGUCCCAGCUGUAAACUAUGCAAACUCAGUGAUGCAUUGGCUUGUGGCCAAUGCAGUGCUGCAGGGAAGCCGUUAAGUUUGCCGCCUGGGAAGUACGUACGCAAGUAUGAAACUUAAAGGAAUUGGCGGGGGAGCACCACAAGGGGUGAAGCCUGCGGUUCAAUUGGAGUC
rnacentral:rRNA from 1 species